GAACGCUGGCGGCGUGCUUAACACAUGCAAGUCGAACGGAAAGGCCUCUUCGGAGGUACUCGAGUGGCGAACGGGUGAGUAACACGUGGGUGAUCUGCCCUGCACUCUGGGAUAAGCCUGGGAAACUGGGUCUAAUACCGGAUAGGACCAUGCUUUAGUGUGUGUGGUGGAAAGUUUUUCGGUGUAGGAUGAGCCCGCGGCCUAUCAGCUUGUUGGUGGGGUAAUGGCCUACCAAGGCGGCGACGGGUAGCCGGACUGAGAGGUUGGUCGGCCACAUUGGGACUGAGAUACGGCCCAGACUCCUACGGGAGGCAGCAGUGGGGAAUAUUGCACAAUGGGCGCAAGCCUGAUGCAGCGACGCCGCGUGGGGGAUGACGGCCUUCGGGUUGUAAACUCCUUUCGCCAGGGACGAAGCGUUUUGUGACGGUACCUGGAGAAGAAGCACCGGCUAACUACGUGCCAGCAGCCGCGGUAAUACGUAGGGUGCAAGCGUUGUCCGGAAUUACUGGGCGUAAAGAGCUCGUAGGUGGUUUGUCACGUCGUCUGUGAAAUUCCACAGCUUAACUGUGGGCGUGCAGGCGAUACGGGCUGACUUGAGUACAGUAGGGGUAACUGGAAUUCCUGGUGUAGCGGUGAAAUGCGCAGAUAUCAGGAGGAACACCGAUGGCGAAGGCAGGUUACUGGGCAGUUACUGACGCUGAGGAGCGAAAGCAUGGGUAGCAAACAGGAUUAGAUACCCUGGUAGUCCAUGCCGUAAACGGUGGGCGCUAGGUGUAGGGACCUUUUGGGGUUUCUGUGCCGUAGCUAACGCAUUAGGGCGCCCCGCCUGGGGAGUACGGCCGCAAGGCUA
rnacentral:rRNA from 1 species